GACGAACGCUGGCGGCGUGCUUAACACAUGCAAGUCGAACGGAAAGGCCCUGCUUUUGUGGGGUGCUCGAGUGGCGAACGGGUGAGUAACACGUGAGUAACCUGCCCUUGACUUUGGGAUAACUUCAGGAAACUGGGGCUAAUACCGGAUAGGAGCUUCUGCUGCGUGGUGGGGGUUGGAAAGUUUCGGCGGUUGGGGAUGGACUCGCGGCUUAUCAGCUUGUUGGUGGGGUAGUGGCUUACCAAGGCUUUGACGGGUAGCCGGCCUGAGAGGGUGACCGGCCACAUUGGGACUGAGAUACGGCCCAGACUCCUACGGGAGGCAGCAGUGGGGAAUAUUGCACAAUGGGCGGAAGCCUGAUGCAGCAACGCCGCGUGCGGGAUGACGGCCUUCGGGUUGUAAACCGCUUUCGCCUGUGACGAAGCGUGAGUGACGGUAAUGGGUAAAGAAGCACCGGCUAACUACGUG
rnacentral:rRNA from 1 species